UACGGGGGGUGCGAGCGUUAAUCGGAAUUACCGGGCGUAAAGCGAGCGUAGUCGGUUAUUUAAGUCGGGUGUGAAAGCCCCGGGCUCAACCUGGGAAUUGCAUUCGAUACUGGAUAGCUAGAGUUCGGCAGAGGGAAGCGGAAUUUCCGGUGUAGCGGUGAAAUGCGUAGAUAUCGGAAGGAACAUCAGUGGCGAAAGCGGCUUCCUGGACCAGAACUGACGAUCAGGCUCGAAAGCGUGGGGAGCAAACAGG
rnacentral:rRNA from 1 species